GACGAACGCUGGCGGCGUGCUUAACACAUGCAAGUCGAACGGAAAGGCCCUGCUUUUGUGGGGUGCUCGAGUGGCGAACGGGUGAGUAACACGUGAGUAACCUGCCCUUGACUUUGGGAUAACUUCAGGAAACUGGGGCUAAUACCGGAUAGGAGCUCCUGCUGCAUGGUGGGGGUUGGAAAGUUUCGGCGGUUGGGGAUGGACUCGCGGAUUAUCAGCUUGUUGGUGGGGUAGUGGCUUACCAAGGCUUUGACGGGUAGCCGGCCUGAGAGGGUGAACGGCCACAUUGGGACUGAGAUACGGCCGAGACUCCUACGGGAGGCAGCAGUGGGGAAUAUUGCACAAUGGGCGGAAGCCUGAUGCAGCAACGCCGCGUGCGGGAUGACGGCCUUCGGGUUGUAAACCGCUUUCGCCUGUGACGAAGCGUGAGUGACGGUAAUGGGUAAAGAAGCACCGGAUAAAUACG
rnacentral:rRNA from 1 species